GCGCCGAUAGCUCAAUUGGCAGAGCAGCUGGCUCUUAACCAGCGGGUUCGGGGUUCGAGUCCCUGUCGGCGCA
rnacentral:tRNA from 2 species